ACUCAAAGGAAUUGACGGGGACCCGCACAAGCGGUGGAGCAUGUGGUUUAAUUCGAGGCUACGCGAAGAACCUUACCCAGGCUUGACAUGUAGUUGAAUGGCUGUGAAAGCAGUCAGGCCCGCAAGGGACAAUUACACAGGUGCUGCAUGGCUGUCGUCAGCUCGUGCUGUGAAGUGUUGGGUUAAGUCCCGCAACGAGCGCAACCUUUAUUGUUAGUUGGCAUCACGUCAUGGUGGCCACUCUAAUGAGACUGCCGGUGAUAAACUGGAGGAAGGAGGAGACGACGUCAAGUCAGUAUGGCCCUUAUGCCUGGGGCUACACACGUGCUACAAUGGCCACUACAAAGGGCUGCAAACCCGCGAGGGGGAGCAAAUCCCAAAAAAGUGGCCCCAGUUCAGAUUGCAGGCUGCAACUCGCCUGCAUGAAGUCGGAAUCGCUAGUAACGGUAGAUCAGCUACGCUACCGUGAAUACGUUCCCGGGUCUUGUACACACCGCCCGU
rnacentral:rRNA from 1 species